rnacentral:lncRNA from 1 species
AAAAGGCUGCAGUUGAAUAAAAGGCUAUUUGAUGUCUGAAGGUUUUUAAUGUUGUAAAUUUUACAUCUUUUUUGUAUAUCUACAUAGAUAUCUAUAUUAACUUCUAUUAAAAUCAUUAAACUGUUUUCUGGAAAUGGAUGACUUUUGGGUUUUAAAUUUAAUUCAAGUAAUUUUUUUCCUCAUAGUUUCUUCUAGAAUGUUAUUAGUAUGUUUGGUAAUAAAGAUUUGAAAUGUGAUGUGCAUAUUAUUUGGGAUACUGCUGAGCUAUCUCUGCAGCUCAUGCAGGCUGUCUUUAUAAUUUUUAGUGUAGUGUAGUCACUUUCAGAUGAUCUCAGCCUGCCAUUGGUGUAAAUCCAUGGUAUCCAGCAGACCCCAGCAGACAUCAUCUAUCCACACAAGUCUAGACCUUAGGCACAUGUGCCUCUUGAACAUGGAAAAAUGACUAGGUUGUCUGAGAAAAUGAUUUUGAAUUUUUGUACAAUUUUAUUAAACUUAUAUUUGACCUAAAUAGCAACCUGUUACUAAUAAUUACCAUAUUGGACAGCCUGGUUAUAAAACAUUGGGCACAUUGGGAUAGGAUAUGCCAUGAAAAUUGUUUGAUGUGGUUAUUUCUUUGAAUUGCUUUGGAAUUAAGUGUCUAACUGAAGGUUUAGUUAGCAUAAAUAUAUUGUUAUAGCCAAGACUACAUUUUCCCCAUCUCAGAAUAAAAUUAAAUGGUUCUACCUCACAUUAAAAUCAAAUCCUGGCCACUUUGGUUGGUGCACUCAAAUAACAUGGCAAGUAAGCAACUCCGAAUGCUUAGCAUCAAAUCUAUAGUAUUAUAAAUGGUUGUAGGAAAAUUGAAGGAGAUUGUGAGGAGUAGAAAUACAAUAAUGUAAAAAUACUCUGAUUUUUAGAGACCUUUCUUUUGCUUUAGGAGAUCAUGUGUCCAUAAGUUACAAAGCUGUGGUAGUCAGGCUGUGAGUAAAGGGGGUUUCUUUUUAGGGGGAAUCAUUUCUAGAGGACUAGAAUUUUAAUUGAUAGACUUUUAAAAUUAGAAAGCUUUAUUUAUCCAAACAGGGUCUUGUAAUGUAGCCCAGGCUGGCUGGCACUUAGUUUUAAUUAGUCUUACCCUAGUGUUCAAAGUGGGUAGAUUUUUUUUUUCUAUAGGAUGCUGUUCUUGUUCAGUACUGUUACCAGUUAGUGAGACUAAAGACUGAUUUUUCAAUCCAGAGUAGAAAAGGAGUCACAGGAAACAACUCUUAUGAGAAAUUUGUGUUGGGUAUGAGCAGGGUCUUCUGUUUAUAAUCUUAGUAAAUAAUAGCCUUGUUAAAUAAGUAAUUCAUAGUAAUUCACAUUUGACUAUUUUUGUUAUAGUUUUAUCAAUUUG